CGCGGUGAAUACGUUCCCGGGCCUUGUACACACCGCCCGUCACACCAUGGGAGUGGGUUGCACCAGAAGUAGAUAGCUUAACCUUCGGGAGGGCGUUUACCACGGUGUGAUUCAUGACUGGGGUGAAGUCGUAACAAGGUAACCCUAGGGGAACCUGGGGUUGGAUCACCUCCUUACCUUAA
rnacentral:rRNA from 1 species